rnacentral:misc_RNA from 1 species
GAAUCCCAAAAUUUCAGAUUUUGGGAUGGCAAGAAUGUUUGGUGGAGAUCAGACUGAAGGAAAUACUAAGAGGAUAGUUGGAACUUAUGGUUAUAUGCCUCCAGAGUAUGCAAUAGAUGGACACUUCUCUUUAAAAUCUGACGUCUUCAGCUUUGGUGUUAUAGUAUUAGAGAUAUUGAGUGGUCAGAAAAACCGAGGAUUCUUCCAUCCAGACCACAAACUCAAUCUUCUGGGGCAUACAUGGAAGUUAUGGAGUGAAGGGAGGGCCUUGGAAUUAGUGGAUGAAUUGCUGGAGAACGAGUUCCCUGUUUCUGAAGUGCUGAGAUGCAUACAAGUGGGUCUUCUAUGCGUCCAACAGCGGCCGGAGGAGAGACCAACAAUGGCAUCUGUGCUCCUGAUGUUAGAUUCUGAGAGCACAUUGUUGCCUCAACCUGGUCAACCUGGUUUCUAUGCAGAAAGGUGUCUUUCAGAGACAGAUUCAUCAUCACUUGGACAUUUGAUUUCUAAUGAAAUGACUGUCACAUUGUUAGAGGGUCGCUAGUAUUUGCCUACAAUUAUCUUUUCUUUUUUCUUGUUAAAAUUUGGCAGCUCGAACUAAAAACCUCCUAGCGAACAACUCCAGCGCCGCUGAAUUAAAGCCCAUUGGUAUUUAUCCUUUUUCUUUUGUUGUAGAAAUUGAGAACUUAUCAAUCUACUUUCUAUUAUCAUGCAAUGCCAUUCUGUAUCACAUCUG